GUGUGUUUAAGACUUCCCCCUCUGUCUCUGUCACUUUGUCUGCUCUGUUUCCUCACGACGGUCCUGGUCCUCCGGCCCGUCGUCCUCGCUGCUCCUCUGAGUUUUCCCUCAAUAAUCUCCUAAUUACUCCAAAAAACAGCCACGUGGGUCGUCAUCGGGGCUCCAGCCAAUCAGAGGCAACCACACGACCCAGACUCGACACAGUCCAGCUGAGAGCCUGAAACCAGAAGAUGUGACAGUUUUUGUCUGAAAUGAGACAAAGAGGCAGAAUCAGCACCGGGCCUCCUGCUUUCACACGUCCACAGCGCCAUCAAGUGGACUCCAACCCGCCACUGCAGACGCACCGAGGGCCCACAUCUGUAUUCACCUGCAGCGAUGACAUCCAGACAGUUUCCUGAAAUAAGAUCCCACGAGGGAAACUGGAACAAGCGCCAGUUUUUUUUGACGACCUGUGAAGGAAACUCAGAGAUGAUCAAUGAUCAGAUAUCCGUCUCUACGGCAGUAAAGUGCGAUGUGUCGUUCCUUCUGGCCUGUAACCCAAAAUGAAAUGUCUGCUUGGCUCUCCAAAGUAAAAAGCUUGAUGACAAAUAUUACUGACAAAAUAUUUUUGGACUCAACUCUCAAAAAAUGAUGCUCACACACGUCUUCACCUUCUUAUCAUCUUCACCUUCUGCUCGUACAAACAGUCCAAUAAUCUCACAAUCAUUCAAAAUGAUUUUUUCCACCGUAUGAAAAUAUUUUUGGCUCCUUCUGCUGCAGAGUUACAGGAAAAAAAGGCAUUCAGUCCUUUUUAAAGAUCUUUUUUAUUAACGAUACGUUUCCACCAGUGAAGUCGUUACAAAAACUAAACGUGAUCUCGAACAAACAAACACAUUCGUUCAGGUAUGUUACAGCUGCUUUGUGGAACAGAGUGCUGUGAAACUUUUUUUUAUCAAAUGCUCUGAUUACAGGGAGGCACUUUCAUUAUUCACAGCCCGUCCGUGUUUGGAUUGCACCAUCGCUGUAGAUUAUUUAGAGACAGAUUGGGGAGUUUCACAGAGGAGGUGUGGACGGCAGCCCACACAUUCCUCCUCAGUCACACACUAUUAAAGUUCAAAGUGUUGCAUAACGCGUCUUCACUUAUCAAGUAUGUAAAAAUAUGAAUCCAGCAUACGAUUAAAUGUUCUGGCACUCAACGAUAAACUGUGGAAGGUGUUUCUGCUCCACCUGCAGCUGGAAAACUUCACAUUUUCAUUGACAGCUCUGCUAAACUUUCAUACAUCACGUCUGGAGCGUUUGGCCGCCGAGCGGCUCCUGGGACGGUCUGCAGUACCACAUCUGUUUUCUUUUUUAGUGUCUGUUCAUCCUGUCAGAUAUCUGCCCUGUUUGACCUUCAUCCUGUUUGUUUUGAGCUACAGAAGUCGUGUUCAGUCACGACUGUGAAUUACAGUUUUAUCAUGAGGAAUUUAUAAGAAUGACAUUCUGCUGCUGUUUGAUUAAUGGAGCUUCAUCAGCACUUCUCCUUUUCUGAUAGAGCUGACGGGAGGAGCAGUUUGUACCACCGCUGCUUUAGUUAUUUAUUUGGCAUGUAUGACUUUAUCAAGAGGACAGUUCAGAAGUUACAGGAGGAACGUGGACCGAGCGCCUCACCACCUGAGCUACCUCUGACCACAAGACAAGCACAUCAUCAGACACAUGUGAUGGAAAGACAAAGUCCUGCUGCUCUGGACUGAUGUGCCGAGUCAAACCGAGCAGAACCGGGCCGACAGAUGUGAUUAAAAAGAAGACGUUUAAACACUAGAAACAAAGCACAGCGGACCGUCUGACAUCCUGCUCGCCUGUUUUCUUUCCUUUUCUUUCAUAAAUAAUAAAUCUUCUUCGUCUGAAUUCACCUUCAUGCCAAGUGGAGUUUUUACAUAUUCGUGCAGUUUGCGCUGCAGUCGUGAGUCACAACCUUCGCUUCGACCUCGGGCAGUAAAAAAAAAAAACAGAAACUCCAAAUAACUAAAUCUCCCUGGCUCAUGCAAACUAGCGUCUCUUUGUGUAGAGAUGAAAAAGCAGAUGUGCUGACUUCCCCAUAAAAAAAUAUCCAUUUGUUUUUGUCCCUGAGGUUUAAUACAUAAAAAGGUGUCACACUUGCAAAUGUGGAGACUCCAGAGUUUAUUCUUGUUUUAUAUAAAAUAAAAAUGCUGUUCUGUAAAAAGUUAUCUCACGAUCUUGUGGUGAAAACGUUGAUCUGAACGUGAACUUCUCUAAAAUUUGCAACUAACGAUCAACUCGUCAAUCUCAGGUGUCGAUCGAACACUUCUGUUUAAACACGGCUGACUUCUUCUUUCAGUUCCCGGUAAUUUCCAGCACUGAUAGAACUUCAAUUUAAAUGUUUUAUACAAUCUUCAGCUGUAAGUUUUAACUCUCAAA